GUCCUUAGUUACCAGCACGUUAUGGUGGCGACUCUAAGGAGACUGCCGGUGGCAAACCGGAGGAAGGUGGGGAUGACGUCAAGUCAUCAUGGCCCUUACGGCCUGGGCUACACACGUGCUACAAUGGUCGGUACAAAGGGUUGCCAAGCCGCGAGGUGGAGCUAAUCCCAUAAAACCGAUCGUAGUCCGGAUCGCAGUCUGCAACUCGACUGCGUGAAGUCGGAAUCGCUAGUAAUCGUGGAUCAGCCAAGCCGCGGUGAAUACGUUCCCGGGCCUU
rnacentral:rRNA from 1 species